rnacentral:rRNA from 1 species
GACGAACGCUGGCGGCGUGCUUAACACAUGCAAGUCGAACGAUGAUGCCCAGCUUGCUGGGUGGAUUAGUGGCGAACGGGUGAGUAACACGUGAGUAACCUGCCCCUGACUCUGGGAUAAGCGUUGGAAACGACGUCUAAUACUGGAUAUGACUGCCGGCCGCAUGGUCUGGUGGUGGAAAGAUUUUUUGGUUGGGGAUGGACUCGCGGCCUAUCAGCUUGUUGGUGAGGUAAUGGCUCACCAAGGCGACGACGGGUAGCCGGCCUGAGAGGGUGACCGGCCACACUGGGACUGAGACACGGCCCAGACUCCUGCGGGAGGCAGCAGUGGGGAAUAUUGCACAAUGGGCGAAAGCCUGAUGCAGCAACGCCGCGUGAGGGAUGACGGCCUUCGGGUUGUAAACCUCUUUUAGUAGGGAAGAAGCGUAAGUGACGGUACCUGCAGAAAAAGCACCGGCUAACUACGUGCAGCAGCCGCCGUAACAC